rnacentral:lncRNA from 1 species
CCAAAUCCCCAAUCCUUCGAUCUCUUGUGGCUUGUGCUUUUGUCACUUCCAUUCCAACCAUCCGCUGCUCUGCUCACCCUUCAACUUCAAGGCUUCACCCACUCUUUUUGAUGAAGAAGUCUAUAUCCGCCACUAUCCCUCGCUUCCCUCCUCCUCCAAGGUUCCAACCCCUUGCUUAAAUAAGAUCUCCUCUACUUCUUCCUAUUUGAAACCCUAAUGUCUGGCUUUCUACAUGUUUAUCCAUAGAUCCAUGGAACCAUCGCCCCAUACUGUUCCACUAGCCUUCUUCCCACCAUCAUCUCCACCUAUGGCCCCUCCCCACUUGCGAACAUAGCUUCUAUAUAAAGGCCCUUCCCCUCUCUUCAUCUCCUCAUUUUCUCCUCAUCAUAGAGAGGAGUAAUUGUGGGGAUUUCUCGUCUGCUCUUCUAGCACUGCUCUUUCUUUCUUCUUGUUCUUAUUUUUCUUAGCCUUAUCCUUCUCCUCCUCUUCUUUGUCUGAUACGUAUAAUUUGAGAAGAUUAAGCGAUGAUGAUGGGUGACUUGUUGAGGGUUUGUCUUCUCCUCUCCAUUGUCAUACAUGUAUUCUUUCAUAGCAAUUGGCUCGGCAGCUCUAGAAGGUCUAUUGUUUCAGAGACAACUGACCUGUAGCCAUUGCUAGCUAGGUGGGUCAUCGAAGAAGGAGGAGCACAAGAAGAGAAGGGACGAUCUUUCCAUCUCAUCGAAUCAAGAAUACCUUCUGAGCCUUUGAACCCUGGAUCUCCGGCUUGUUUUCUUUCUCACAGUUGGCUAGCGGUCUUCUUCUUCUCUUUGGAAGGUAAUGGCCAUGAAGUUGUGCUUCUUUCUCUCUUUCUUCUUUUCAUUCUUCUCUUUGGAUUUGGUCUUAUAUGGGGAGGCCGUGAUGAUUCUUGGCUAUGAUGAUUCUUGGUAUUUUGUCUUCUGUUGUUCUUGUGAAGGCAAUUAUUUGCAUACAUUGUGAUCUAGUUGCAGAGAUUGGUCCUAUUCCUCUUCCUCCUCUUUGCUAUUCUAAUUCCUUUCUCUAAGUUUUUGUUUUUGUUUUGUUUUGUUCUGUUUUGUUUUGCUGGGCAUUAUCAAAUGGAAGCUAGAUAAGGCCUUCCUCUCCCCCACUUAGGAGCUCCCAUUUAGCUCAUAUUUUGAAAACAGUAUACAGUAAGGCUUCCAUUCAGCCAAUCCCAUUUCACAAAAGCAUAUUGACCCCAUCCCAACCUGAUAAAACUAAUUUUAAUUUUAAUUCAGUUCGGCUUCAAAAAUAACCCCAAACCAACCUGAUGCGAACUGUGCAUACUUCUAUCAGUAGCUACGAGCUAAUGGGAGAGCUUUAGAUUCCUCAUGAUCCAUGUUGAACGAACAAGAAGUAGGCCAACUAGAUUUGGGGCUUGCAACACUCAAGUGUACUGUAGUCAGUCACUCACUCUCUCUCUCUCUCUCUCUCUCUCUNNNNNNNNNNNNNNNNNNNNACUCUCUCUCUCUCUCUCUCUCUCUCUCUCUCUCUCUCUCUGUAUAUCAUGUUUAAACCUUUAUAGUUUUUAUUGCAUAGUAGAUCUAAAAUAAGCUCACAAAAGAAAAUGAUAUGCACUCUAACAACAUGAAAUGGUAUAGAGACAUAAAUGAGCCCAAAGAGAAAAUAAGUAAAUUGAAUGAUGAGAUUCCUUUUCUCCCUCUCCCUUUUCCGUACCUCUCUUCAUUAUUCUAUCUAUUCCUACUCUUCCCUCUCGAGUCCAACCUUCCAUGUCUCUAAGCACCAAAUUCUCCUCCAAAUGCUCUCAACCCAAUAUCCUAGUCCAAUAAUGAAUUAUCUUGAUAGAAGCAUGUUGAACUCCAUAUUUCCUACUAUAUUCUCUCUUAUGCCCUCUCA